UACGAAGGGGGCUAGCGUUGUUCGGAAUUACUGGGCGUAAAGGGCGCGUAGGCGGUCCUUCAAGUCAGGCGUGAAAGCCCCGGGCUCAACCUGGGAACCGCGCUGGAGACUGGCGGGCUAGAGUUCGGGAGAGGAUGGUGGAAUUCCCAGUGUAGAGGUGAAAUUCGUAGAUAUUGGGAAGAACACCGAUGGCGAAGGCAGCCAUCUGGACCGACACUGACGCUGAGGCGCGAAAGCGUGGGGAGCAAACAGG
rnacentral:rRNA from 1 species